rnacentral:rRNA from 1 species
UACAGAGGGGGCAAGCGUUGUUCGGAAUUACUGGGCGUAAAGGGCGCGUAGGCGGCCUUCUAAGUCGAACGUGAAAUCCCCGGGCUCAACCCGGGAACUGCGUCCGAUACUGGAAGGCUUGAAUCCGGGAGAGGGAUGCGGAAUUCCAGGUGUAGCGGUGAAAUGCGUAGAUAUCUGGAGGAACACCGGUGGCGAAGGCGG